CGGUACACAUGCUUUUAAAUAAGACCUCAUCUCUGAGUUAGAGUAAACUGUCAAGACUUAAAACUUACUUACUUUACCUUCACCAUGGGACUUGUAACCGUCACUUCUGUCUUGAGUGGUUAAAAGAUAGAACAGUCUAGCCAAGUGCCAUGUCUCUUAUUCUUGAUCAGCUAUAGCUCUUGGGUUUUUGCAGAUUUUCAAAUAAAACUCAGAGAUUCCUUGUAUGAUUCUCUCAGGUCUCUCUUUUGUGGUAUUUUUGGAUUCUUACCAAGGCAGUGAUGGUAUAUGCCUUCUCUCAAGAUAUGUGGUAUUUGUGGUAUGAGGCAUAGUGACAUUGCCUUCUCUCUCAUCCUACUCUAAUAAGGCUUUAAUAUCUAGAGCUCAUAGGUGGGAAAUAAAGUAUACAUACUUACAAGACAUUUAUUGCAUAGUCAAAUCAUGGAUCCAAAGUAACAAGUCAAUAAGUUUAAUCAAGAUGUGCAUGUGUGGUGAAUGAAUGGUGUAUGGUAAUGAUGGUGAUAACAAUGGUGAAAACAAUGGAGGUGGAAGUCUAAUUCUACUUUUGCUCUUUUGAGGGGUUACAUACCUUCCUUGCUUUUUGAAACUUUAUGAGGAGAAUGAGAUGCUCUAUAUUUUUUUCUUUUCUCUCAGGUGGUAUCUUGUACCCCUAAUUCUACUGUCGGACACUUGUCCAUUUUUACCUCUCGUCUCACUUUUCUUUUCUUUCGAGGUUCCGAGCACUUGCUCCUUUUUAUUUCCUCGUAUAUAUUUUUUUUUCAGAGCAUUCAUCUCUUGAGAUAAUAUAGCAAGUGGUAGUAACAAGAUAACUUGAGCAUUUAUUUCACAAGGGGAAAACAGAAAUAUUUUUGGUUAUUCUCUCCCGGAUUAGGAGUAGAAUAUUUUUGGGUAAUUUUGGAGAUGGAAUGGGUGAAUAUAUGUGGAUGGUACUUCCGGAGUAGAAGUAGCAUAUAUGAGUGAACGUGCAAGUGAAAUCUUGAUUUAACCACAUGACAAGCUCCUAAGGGUCAACACAGCUUGACCACACUCAAUGCUCAUAAGCAGUAAAUAAUAAAUGUGUGGCUCAAAGUCUAGCAAGCAUGCAUAUAUGGCUGUGGUAGGAAUUUAAACUCUCAUCAUACAGGAACUCAUCAUGCAACAUUUUAAAGAUUUUUAAAGAUAAAAUUCUCCAGAAUUCUAGCAUCUCUAGGAACAGAUAAACAGCAGCUCAACCUUCCCAUAUCAUAUCCGUUAACAACUUAGACUUCAGAUCAAGUUUUCAUCCCACAAGUUUAGGUCUAGAGCAAGCUUUAAAUUAUAACAGUUAUAUCUAAACUUGAGAGAGAACUUAAAAUUUGCAAAUUAGGCAAAGCAACUAUUUAUCAUAACCAUGCUUAAGUUUUAUUUGAUACAGAUUAGCAUAGCCACUUUAUUUAUUUAUUAAACACACUAAGCAAAAGACAUAUAUAUAUAUAAGCAUAAAAUCUUUAUUUGGUUUUUUCUAGUUUUUGUAUUUUAAUAUUCUAAUAUAGUAUAAGUAUAAAGAUAGAUAGAAAUACUUAUCGGGAUAAAUGGGGGUGCUCUCCCCCAAGCUGAAUUUUGACGUAAUUUCUCUUGAUGUAGCUAACAGGUGGCGGAGGUGUAUUUGAAAGUCGGCAGCAUUCUGACAGCGAUUAGAAUGUCCUCCGUUUGCUAGUCUUCUUGAUUCUUAAAUUCUGUGGAGCUCAAAUAGACAACAAAGCUUGUGGAACUGAUUAAGUGUUAGCAUAAAUAUCUAGCCUUUUUCAUGUUGAGACUCUUUAAUAAAUAUUACUCCCUGUUUUUAUAUUUUUGUUUUUAUAAAGCAGAAAAAUAUUUAUUUUAUUUUUAUGCCACCACAGUGAAUGUACUUAUGGGUUUUAUGCCACUCGUCUACUCACAUGGGGCUUACUGUUUUUCAUAUUUUUAUUUUCUUUUUAAGAUAGUAUGAACUUAAUUAACUAAGUAACUAUUUGAAAUAAUUGAAAGAGAAAGGAUAACUAUCAAGUUUACCUCUUGGCAAGGCGUUCGGUGUUUUUAAGUCCUCCGAACGGGACUCUCCAUUUUCUCAAUUGUCCUGAGGUUCGUUGGGUGGCGUAGUCGGUGCUUCCGGCAGCGCCUCCUCUUCUUGUGUAGUUAUCUUCAUUUUCCAUACCUGGGUGCUUUAAUCUCCUCUGGAUAAUUCUGUUUAAACUCUACGUCUUCUGACCUUAUAACUUCUCCUUCAUAGUCUGCCCAUCCGUCCUUGAUAAUCUGCCUCCUCUGGUUGCGGUUGCGUCGCUUUCUUACCUACUUAGAUUCUUCAACGAUAUAGUUAGGGUCAGUAAAAUAACGGCGUACCUUCUCUGAGGGGAAGUACAUAUGGACUUCUCCGGUUCCAAUGUAGAUAAUUGCUUUAACGGUGCUGAGGAACGGUCUUCCAAGGAUGAUGGGUGGAUCAUACUCGUCUUCUCCCAUGUCAAUAACUUGAAAGUCUGUGUAGACAAAUUGAUCGUCUAUUUUGACUGGGACAUCAGAUACUAUUCCUUUGACUUCUCGAAAUGUCUGAUCUGCCAUCUGAAGCUAAAUGUAUGUUGGUCUCAGUGGCGUGGUUCCGAACAAGAGCCGAUAGGUGACUGCGGCCAUUAUGUUGACGCCCGAUCCGGUGUCGCAAAUCGUCUUGUAGAAGUUGUAUCCAUUUAUGGAGCAGUAAAUUCUUGGCAUUCCUGGGUCGUCCUUCUUAGUCAAAAGCGGUGACUUAAGUUGGUGAUCUUGGCCUCCAUGGACUACAGUGACCAUCUUAGCUGACUCGGUCCACACUUGCUUGUUUCUGUUUCUCCUGUUGGUCCUCUUCCUUGAUUUACCUCUGGAUUGAUCUUGAAUUUGUGUAGUCUUGUUCUUGAAGAAAAAUGUCUCCUUCUUCCCUUUGACGUAGAAACUGAUCUUGGCAGCACUGGCGUAGAUGAUAGCUCCCGUGGUGUUCAAAAAUGGCCUCCCUAGGAUGAUAGGUGCUCUCUCAUCAUUUCCGGUCUCUACCACUACGAAGUCUGCUGGGGCAUAUAAGGUACCAACUCGGACACAAAGGUUCUUCACUAUUCCUUUUGGAAAAGUUAUCGUCUGAUCUGCAAACUGCAAACACAUGGUUGUUUCUAAUAAAGGAUAUGUAAAGAAUUUUUCAUAGAGUACCCUGGGUAUAAUGUUGACACUAGAGCCAAAGUCGCAGAGUGCUUCUGGAACGUCCACCAUGCCGAUGGAGAUCGGGAUGACGGGGCGUCCUGGAUCGCCUCUCUUGACCGGCAGAAGGUCAGUAGAGAAUUCAUUGACGGGGUUACUCCAAUUACCUGCAUCAAACAUGUCUACAAGAUUUGCAGAUUCUAAUCCUUCCGGUUGUGAUGGUAUACCGGGGUUAGUAGUAGGAACAGCAGCAGCUAUUUGAUUUAACUGAGAUUCAAUCAUUUUAUUAAAGCUAAUUUGAUUCUUGAUGGCAGUAGAAAAAUUAUCCAUUCUAUUAUUUAUAUUUUCUAGCAUUUUAUCAUUAGAUGCCAAUUUCUUGGAUAGGUUAUCCAUUAGCUUUCCUUGAUUAGACACUAACUCCCUCAAAGGUGGGAAAUUAUUAUUAUUGUUGUAAGAAUUGUUACCUUGAUAAUUACCUGAGUAGUUAGGCCUCUGUUGAUUCCAACCUUGAUUUUGUUGAGGACGGUUGUAGUAGUAGUAGUAGUUGUUGUUGAUGUAGUUCACAUCCUCAAGUAUCUCAGGGCAGUGGUUGCCUGAGUGUCCAGUGUCUCCACACUCCUCACAAGUCAUGUGAGAGUCGUAGAUGUGCAUAACUUCUUUAUUGUCUCCAGCUCUAUCGUCGAGCUUCUUCAUGAGCAGGUCUAGCUUUGCAGAAAGCAUGUCUACCUCCUUUAGCUGAUGUAUACCUCCACCUCUCUUGCGUGUCUGGGUCCUCUCUUCAUUCCAGCUUUGGUUGGACGCCAUCUUCUCCACAAGAGCUGUGGCUUGUGGUAUAGUAAGUGAUAAGAAUGCUCCUCCAGCUGCAGCAUCCAUGGUCUCUCGGGCACUGUUGCUGAGCCCAUGAUAGAACGUCUGCAUCAGUAGCCAACUCUCCAUUCCAUGAUGGGGACAUUCUAGGAUGUAGUCUUGAAAGCGCUCCCAUGCUUCUGGAAAAGAUUCAUCAUUUUGUUGCUGAAAACUUGUAAUCUUCCCACGGAGAGCAUUGGUCUUGCCCAUGGGAAAGAACUUAGCCAGGAAGUUUGUUGAGCAGAGUGCCCACGUAGUAUUCUUCUCCUUUGUAGCGUAGAACCACUGCUUCGCUCUUCCUAACAGUGAGAAUGGGAAGAGGCGAAGUAGUAUAGCGUCUUUGGAAACUCCUGCUAUGGUGAAUGUGUUGCAAAUCUCCAGGAAGUGUUGUAAAUGAGCACUAGCAUCUUCGUGUGCCUUCCCACAGAACUGGUUGGAUUGCACCAUGUUGAUAAGUCUAGGCUUGAGCUCAAAGUUUCCAUCGAUCUCUGCAACAGGUCCAGUGCGGAUGUUGUCCGUAGUGGGAGCUGAGAACUCGCGGAUUGAUUUGUUCGCCAUGGCCUCGAACUCUGAAGACAAGUUCCGGUGAUCUUCUUGAUUGGAUGAAGCUUCUUGCUGAAGUGUUGAUGAUCUCUUCUUUAGCUUGGCUCUCGUCUUCUUGAAUAAUGCUUCAGGAUUGUCAACAAAAUUUCCUGGAAGAUGUCUUCAAUUCAUACAUUCCCCUGCAUAAGAUAAAAUAGAAAAAUAUCGGGGUAAAACUGUAUGAGAGAAUAGAUAAGCUCAAUCAUAUUAGUGAUGCGAAUGAUAACUCAAAAUCUUUUAUUCCAUUCCUGAUUAGUAAUCAACCUUCCCCGGCAACGGCGCCAAAAAUGCUUGUUGGGUAUUCUUAACAUCAUUACCAAAAGUAGACUAAGUUCUCUAAAUCUAGAAACGGUGCCAAAAAUGCCAAACCUAUCCCUCACACCACUUAAGCCAAGUUGUCAUCCCCAGCAUGACAUAAGAGAUGCGGUAUUGAAAUAUGCAAUUGCACUUCUAGAUAAAUAAUGAAUUGGAUCUGCAAGCGCACAGAUUAAUACCGAUGUAGCAUUUUAACCGGGAAGUAUUCCAGGUAUUGUUAUUUAUAUUUUUACCACUGGGAAGGGAUUAGAAAUCAUCACUAAUGAUUACAGAAUAGAAUAUGAGAUUGAGCAUCUAUCAUUGCAUGUAUAAUUGAGAACAUUAUAUCUAACUUCUCAUACAGGGAUAAGUGUCACAUAAAAGAUAUAUGAAAUAAUAAUAGUGACAAGGAUAACUAAUCUGAUCUAGCCACAUAAUAAAUAUGAUAAGCACCUCAAUUAGAUAGUCUAGAAAGUCGUUAGCAUGGUAUUAGAACGAACUACAAGAAUAUUCCCUAAGUUAUUCUCAACUAUAUAGUCUAGCAUAUCAUAGUUAGUGCAAGCAUACUUAGCAAUCAUUGUGAGACAAGACUACGCCCAUGCAUAGUGAUAUUAGCAAGGAAUAUGAGAAACAUAGCAAUCACUCCCCUGUAAUAAUGUUGCUCUGCCAGCCCAAUACACGAGAGGGGGACUAUAUAAGAAUCAAUGAAGCUGUCACUAUCACGAACCACCCCACGAUCUGGCAUAUUGGGUACAAUCGUAGAUAAAUACGGUAUAAGCACCACGCCUACACAAUAUCUAUCAUUUACCCAUGGAUCCGAUGGAUAAACACUAUACGAUCCUAAGCAUGUAUAUAGAUCCAAUCUAACUAAGCCAAGUACAUAACUAUGAUAAACUAAGAACAAUAUAAUCUUGAAUAUAAGCAAGUAGAGCAAAGUCAUAAGCAAUAUAUUGAAGUAGAACAAAGUCAUAUUCAUAAUAUUGAAGAACAAAGAUAAUUAGAAGAAUAAUUAGAAGCACAAUUAGAGAAUUACCGAGAAUCCUCCUGCAAUAAAAUGAACAAGAACAAGAAAAUUGCUAAUGUACCUUACAUUCCUUUUGAUUCUUGUUAUGUGCUUACCAAGGGUGAGAAGGGUGUGCAUGCUAAGUUUGUUGGUACACCAAUUGUGGGUCCAAAGAAGAAGGCCAUUUGGGUACCAAAAAGCUUAGUCACUAACCUCCAAGGACCCAAACAAGUAUGGGUACCUAAGAAACAUUGAUUUGUUUUGUAGGUAAACUAUAAAGCCGGAGGAAGGCAUUGGGUGCUUGAUAGUGGGUGCACACAACACAUGACCGGAGAUUCAAGAAUGUUCAAUUCAAUCAAUCCAAAUGAUGACAAGGAGCAUGUGAGGCUAUGCUACAAGUGUAAAAGCCCCGAUCAUAUUGUGGCGGAUUGUCCUUACAAUAGUGACAAUGAUGAGCAUGACAAGAAGAACAAGAAGGAGAAGAAAGAAAAGAAGAAGAAGAUGGUCUUCAAAAAGAAGAAGAAGGGUGGAUCCUAUGUUGUGACAUGGGAUAGUGAUGCCUCUUCGGAUGAUGAUUCAAGUGAUGAUGACAAGGCAUCCAAGAAGAAGGCACUUGCAAGCAUUGCUAUCAACAAGCCAUCACUCUUCGACACUCCUUCAUGCUUCAUGGCCAAAGGCCACAAGGUACAAUAUGAUGAAAGUGAAAAUGAACAUGAUAGUGAUAGUGAUGAUGAAAAUGAAUUCACAAAUGAACAACUCAUGGACAUGCUAGAACAAGCCGAUUCUCUCAUUCAAUCUAAAAACAAGAAGUGCAAAGAAUUGGUCAAGAAGUUAAAAGCUCUUGAGCAAUCCUUUGAUGAGCUCAAUGCUAAUCAUGAGAGGCUAGUGGAAGCCCAUGAGAAGCUUGGCAAGGCUCACACCAAGCUUGAGAAAGCUCACUCCUUGUUAUUAGAAGAGAACAAGGAAAAUGUUGUUGUAUCAUGUGAUGUGGGCACAACAUGUGACUUAAUUAAAGAAUCACCCAACCCACCUAUUGUUAUUGCCACUAACUCUUCAUGUAGGUCUUCAUCCACCACCUCCAACUCUACCUUUAUUUCUAGUGUUAGUGUCACUUGUGAUACCUCACUAAAGGUUGAGAAUGAGACUCUCAAGAGAGAAGUGGAUGAGCUCACUCACGCCCUAGGCAAGGCCUAUGGUGGUGAGGCCCGCUUGCUAAAGUGCUUGGGUAGCCAAAGGUUUUCUCUCAAUAAAGAGGGAUUAGGCUAUACCCCCAAGAAGGGCAAGAAAGCCUUUGUAACUCACAAGCCUAGCUUUGUGAAGAGCAAUGGUCGGUAUUACAACAAAUGCAAGCAAGUUGGGCACCUAGAGCUUAAUUGCAAUAAAAUGAACAAGAACAAGAAAAUUGCUAAUGUACCUUACAUUCCUUUUGAUUCUUGUUAUGUGCUUACCAAGGGUGAGAAGGGUGUGCAUGCUAAGUUUGUUGGUACACCAAUUGUGGGUCCAAAGAAGAAGGCCAUUUGGAUACCAAAAAGCUUAGUCACUAACCUCCAAGGACCCAAACAAGUAUGGGUACCUAAGAAACAUUGAUUUGUUUUGUAGGUAAACUAUAAAGCCGGAGGAAGGCAUUGGGUGCUUGAUAGUGGGUGCACACAACACAUGACCGGAGAUUCAAGAAUGUUCAAUUCAAUCAAUCCAAAUGAUGACAAUGGUGUUGAUAGUAUCACAUUUGGUGACAAUGGCAAAGGCAAGGUCAAAGGGCUUGGUAAAAUUGCUAUAUCCAAUAACUUGAGCAUUUCCAAUGUGCUACUAGUAGAGAGCUUGAACUUCAACUUGCUAUCCGUAGCUCAACUUUGUGAUCUUGGUUUCAAAUGCAUAUUUGGAGUUGAUGAUGUAGAGAUCAUAAGUGUAGAUGGCUCUAACUUGAUAUUCAAAGGAUUUAGAUAUGAGAAUCUAUACUUGGUUGAUUUCAAUGCUAGAAAAGCUCAAUUGUCAACAUGCUUGCUCACUAAAUCUAGCAUGGGUUGGUUAUGGCAUAGAAGGCUUGGUCAUGUUGGAAUGAAACAAUUAAACAAGUUAGUCAAGCAUGAUCUUGUUAGAGGCUUGAAAGAUGUCACAUUUGAGAAAGACAAGCUUUGUAGUGCAUGUCAAGCCGGAAAAUAAGUUGGCAACACUCAUCCAAAGAAGAGCAUCAUGAGUACAUGCAAGGCAUUUGAGUUGUUGCACAUGGAUCUAUUUGGACCAACCACAUACACAAGCAUUGGUGGAAAUAAAUAUGGAUUUGUGAUAGUGGAUGAUUUCACAAGAUAUACAUGGGUAUUCUUUCUUAGUGACAAGAGUGAUGCUUUUGCAACUUUCAAAUCAUUUGUCAAGAGAAUACACAAUGAAUUUGAAACAACCAUCAAGAAAGUGAGAAGUGACAAUGGAAGUGAAUUCAAGAAUACAAGAGUUGAUGAGCUUUGUGAUGAAUUUGGCAUUAGGCAUCAAUUCUCAGCCAAGUACACUCCACAAUCAAAUGGUCUUGUUGAGAGGAAGAAUAGAACCUUGAUUGACAUGGCAAGAUCAAUGUUGAGUGAGUACAAUGUGAGUCAUUCUUUUUGGGCCGAAGCAAUCAACACGGCUUGCUACUAUAGCAACCGACUCUAUUGUCACCCAAUGAUGGAGAAGACUCCAUAUGAGCUCUUGAAUGGAAGAAAGCCAAACAUUGCAUAUUUUCGGGUUUUUGGUUGCAAAUGCUACAUAUUGAAGAAAGGCACUAGAUUGAGUAAAUUUGAAAAGAAAUGUGAUGAAGGUUUCUUGCUUGGUUACUCUACUACUAGCAAGGCUUAUAGAGUGUGGAAUUUGGCUAGUGGUACUCUUGAAGAAGUGCAUGAUGUUGAAUUUGAUGAAACCAAUGUCUCUCAAGAGGAAGAUGAGAAUCUAGAUGAUGUGAGAGGCACUCAAUUGGCCGAUGCAAUGAAGAACAUGGAUAUUGGUGAUUUAAGGCCUAGAGAGGUGAUUGAUGUUGAAGCUGACAAAGAUCAAGUGCUUCCUACCUCUAAUGUGCAAGCUAGUGGUUCUCAUGAUCAAACUCAAGCUAGUACAAGUGGUACACAAGUGCAUGAUCAACAAGCUAGUACAUCAUCUCAUGAUCAAUCAAGUGCAAGCAAUCAAGUGCAAAUACUCCAACCAACAAAUAUUGCAAGAGAUCAUCCAUUGGAUCAUAUCAUUGGUGACAUUCAAAAAGGAGUGCAAACUAGAUCAAGAUUAGCAUCAUUUUGUGAGCAUUUCUCCUUUGUGUCUCACAUUGAGCCAAAGAAGAUUGAUGAAGCAUUGAGAGAUGUUGAUUGGGUCAAUGCUAUGCAUGAAGAGCUUAACAAUUUCAAGAGAAAUCAAGUAUGGGAAUUAGUUGAGAGGCCUAGUGAUCACAAUGUCAUUGGUACUAGAUGGGUUUUUCGCAACAAGGAAGAUCAAGAUGGGAUAGUUGUAAGGAACAAAACAAGAUUGGUAGCACAAGGCUAUACUCAAGUUGAAGGUCUUGACUUUGGUGAAACAUAUGCCCCGGUUGCAAGAUUGGAAGCAAUUAGGAUCUUGUUGGCCUAUGCUUGUGCACAUAAUAUCAAGCUAUAUCCAAUGGAUGUGAAAAGUGCAUUUCUUAAUGGCUAUAUCAAUGAGGAAGUAUAUGUUGAGCAACCUCCCGGUUUUGAAGAUGAUAAGAAACCCAACCAUAUUUACAAGCUAAGAAAGGCAUUGUACGGCUUGAAACAAGCACCAAGAGCAUGGUAUGAGAGAUUGAGAGAUUUCUUACUCUCUAAAGGUUUCAAGAUGGGCAAGGUUGACACCACUCUCUUCACCAAGAAGAUUGGCAAGGAAUUGUUUGUGUUGCAAAUCUAUGUUGAUGAUAUCAUAUUUGGAUCAACCAAUCAAGAAUUUUGUGAGUAGUUUGGAAACAUGAUGGCUAAUGAGUUUGAGAUGUCAAUGAUUGGAGAGCUUAGUUACUUCCUUGGUCUCCAAAUCAAGCAAUUGAAGAAUGGCACAUUUGUGAGUCAAAGCAAGUACAUAAAAGACAUGCUCAAGAAGUUUGGUAUGGAUGAUGCAAAAUCAAUUAGCACACCAAUGGGAACAAAUGGAAGCCUAGAUAGUGAUACAAGUGGAAAUAUGGUAGAUCAAAAGUUAUAUCGGUCUAUGAUUGGAAGCCUACUCUAUGUGACCGCAUCAAGACCGGAUGUCAUGUUUAGUGUAUGCAUGUGUGCAAGAUUUCAAGCCUCACCAAGAGAAAGUCAUUUGAAAGCAACAAAGAGAAUAUUGAGGUACUUGAAGCAUACACAAAAUGUUGGUUUGUGGUAUCCCAAAGGUGCAAAGUUUGAACUUGUUGGAUAUUCCGAUUCGGACUAUGCGGGAUGCAAAGUUGAGAGAAGAAGCACAUCGGGCACAUGUCAACUAUUGGGAAGAUCACUUGUCUCAUGGUCAUCCAAGAAGCAAAAUAGUGUUGCACUAUCAACCGCCGAAGCGGAGUACAUUGCGGCCGGUAGUUGUUGUGCACAAAUCCUAUGGAUGAAGGCAACUUUGAAGGACUUUGGAAUCAAUUUCAAACAAGUGCCCUUGCUAUGUGACAAUGAAAGUGCCGUGAAGCUCACCAACAAUCCGGUUCAACACUCAAGAACAAAGCAUAUAGAUGUCCGCCAUCAUUUCAUAAGAGAUCACCAACAAAAAGGGGACAUUUGCAUUGAGAGUAUAGGCACCGAUGAUCAACUUGCCGAUAUAUUCACCAAGCCACUUGAUGAGAAGAGGUUUUGCAAGCUAAGGAAUGAAUUGAACAUACUGGACUUCUCAAAUAUGUGUUGAUGCACCCCCAUUAUAUGACAUGCCUCUCCUUCGAGCAAAGCAAGGUAAAAUUGUUUGACAUGUCAUCCAUCCUAUGCCAAGGAUUUGCUUAGUGCAUCUAGUCAUUCUUUACAUGUCUUAGGCUCAUUCAUGAAAAUCAAAUGAAUUUGAUGCUUGUAUGGUACCACUAUUGCUUUUAUGCUUGACUUGAUCUAGUGGUAGCAUAUGACAUGUUUGUGGGCUUGCAAUCCUAGUGUUUGAUCUAGAAUAUGAGCUAUAAGUGUUUAACUCAACAUGGUACAAGAUAACCCUUAUUUGGAGGUGUGAAGAAGCUUGUCCUUGGAUCAAACCGAGUUAAAUAUCUUAGGCAAGUAAUCUAGAUUGGACCAAUUUGGUAAAAUGAUCUCACUUCACAUGGUUUCACACUAACCUAUCUAAAAUUUGACCUCACCUUUUGUGGUCAUUGAUGACAAAGGGGGAGAGAAAUUACAAAGAUAGAGAAGUAACAUGAUAAAAGAAGGGGAUCAAUUAAAAAUUUGAAGCACACAAGUAGGGGGGGCAAGCUCAUAAACUUAUAUGUUGCAUUUGAAUGUGCAUCCUAUAUGUUUUGUUGCAUUUGCAUUAGCUUUAGAAGCUGUCUCUGUUGCCUUGCUUGUGUGUUGUAUGCUAGUUGUAGGCUUGAUUGAUGAAAUGAAGAACUAGCAUGCAUAGGUAGUGUAACUAGCCUUUUAGUUGUUUCACAAACUAGACUCUUAGUUGUUUCACAANNNNNNNNNNNNNNNNNNNNNNNNNNNNNNNNNNNNNNNNNNNNNNNNNNNNNNNNNNNNNNNNNNNNNNNNNNNNNNNNNNNNNNNNNNNNNNNNNNNNUAUAAUGUUGAUCUCACGGGGUGUUCUAGUUUGUGAAUGUCUAGUUACUAAUGGUGCUAAGGAUGGUAUAUAUUGGCAACUCUGAUUGGUAUCACGCUUCAAAGGUCCAUUCUUUACACCUUAGCAUCAUUUGGUAGAAAUUGACUCCUAUAUUUCCUAUUCAAGCAUAUGUGCAAGCUUUCAAAUCCAAACUCUUAGCACAUAUGUAGGGGGAGCAAUUGCUACUAAUUUGGGUUUAUGAAACUUGUCCAUAAUAUUUGCACAUGGUAAAAUGCUUGGACAAGCAACAUGAAUCCAAGAAAAUUUUAUUGAAAAUCUUUGUAAAAAGGGUUGUCAUCAAUUACCAAAAAGGGGGAGAUUGAAAGCCCUAGUUUGGUUUUGGAUAAUUGAUGAAACCCUAGUACUAACCUCUAUGCUAAGUGUGUGUAGACCUAACGAGGUUGGUACAUGCCAAGUGUUGGAGCAAGAGAUGAUCAUGGUGAUGACCACAAGGUGAUCAAGUGCUCAACUUGGAAAACAAGAAAGAGAAAAACAAAACCCUAUGGAGAUCAAGGCAAAGGUAUUGCUUAGGGUUUUGGUUUUAGUGAUCAAGACACCAUAGAGGGUGUGAUCACAUUUAGGAUAGAUAGCCGUACUAUAAAGAGGGGAAUUCUUUGGCUAAGCGGUUAUCAAGUGCCACUAGGUGUCAUUGUUCAUGUGCAUGCAUUUAGAACCUAGUGAGCUAACUUAACUCCUUCAAAGAAAAUGUUUGUGAAAAUGCUAACACACGUGCACUUGUUGGUACACACGUUGUGGUGUUGGCACACUUUGAGAAGGAGGUGGAGUUUGAUUCGGCGCUUUUCGAGAAAAUGAAGUGCAUAUUUUCUAUUGCGCCGGAGGGAAAUUUUGGAGAAGUCGCGGGAGUGUUUCUCGCUGAGGAACACUCACCGGACGCUGGCUCAGAGGCACCGGAACGCUGUGUCUGAGCGUCCGGUGUGCAGACAGUGCCUGGCCCAGUUAGGGUAAGGCACCGGAUGAUAGGCACCGGACGCUGGGUUGAGCGUCCGGUGGUGCGCGUCCAGUGUGCGGGCGUUUUGCGACCCUCUCUGCGCAUGGGUCCGGUGAGCACCGGACGCUAAGGGUGCGUCCGGUGGCUUGCGUCUGGUGACCCUGCGAGUUUGCGGAGCUCUCUGCGCAUGAGUCCGGUGUGCACCGGACGCGUCCGGUGCCAACCUGCUCAGCGUCCGGUGCUCUGCAGGUUACCGUUAGACUCUGACACACGGCUGACGUUGGAGCACCGGACGCUGAGUCUGAGCGUCCGGUGCCCCUUUAAGUGCGUCUGGUGACCCCGCGGUUUGCCCAGUGAAAGAGCCAACGGCUCUAUUUGUUUGAGGGGCUAUAAAUAUGUGUUUGGCUGGCUUAGGGUAGACACCUUUGGCAUUCUAACGUACUUGACAUCCUUGUGAGCCUAAGCAAACACCUCCCACUCAUCUCCUUCUUAGAUUAUACAUCUUUGUGAGAUUGGGAGUGAUUCCAAGUGCAUUUGCUUGAGUGAUUGCAUCUAGUGGCACUUGGGGAUCGUUCUAGCUGCGGUUUUCUUGUUACUCUUGGUGGUUGCCGCCACCUAGAUGGCUUGGAGCAGCGGAGGAGGUUUGGCACGAGUUGGUGAUUGUUCGUGGCCAUCUCCCGGUGAUUGUGAGAGGUUUGUGCCUACCUCGGCGGAGUGCCAAAGGCAACAUUAGUGGAUUGCUGGUGUCAUUGAGUUACCUCACUUGUGGGUAGGUUCUUGUGGUGUCCUAGUGAGGACGAGGUUCAUGCUACACCUCUUAGCCACCGAACCACCAAGUGUUGGUCGACACAACGGGGACGUAGCGUGCCGGCAAGCACGUGAACCUCGGGAGAAAAAUCGGUGUCUCAAUUGUGUUUGAUUGGCUUUCUCCCGGUGCUUGAUUGUUUAUAUUGGUGAUUGGUUCAUCCCCUACACGGCGGUAUAAAUAUCUCAUCCUAUCCUUACUUACCGCAAACUAGUGUAAUUAGUUUAGUUGCUUUCUUUGCCUUGUGUAGCUUAGUUCUUGUGUGGUUAGUGUUCUUAGCAACUAGAAUUGUUGGAUAGGUGGCUUGCAAACACCCCAUUAGAGCUAGAGCAAAAAACUUCGCUUUGUUAUUUACUAACCUCUUGCUCUAGUAAGUUUGUAGAUUCUUUAAAUAGGCUAUUCACCCCCCCUCUAGCCAUAUUAGGACCUUUCACUAUACUAAUCUAGAUAUCUAAUUGAUGUGGUGGCUCUAAUCUUGAUCAGAGGCUUCUUCUCCCUUGAUGGAACAAUGAAUUAGGGUUGAGAGGCUCUCUCCUCCAGGGGCCAGGGGGUCUGGUUUUAUAGUCCCUUCAAGUGAAUAUGAGCCCUUGGAUCAAACCAACAUAGAUUGUAUGGUUUAGAUUCAUCCUUUAGGUCGGUAGAGAUCUCCCGCAAAGCAGAGUCCUGAUUGGACUCCUGGAGGGGGCGGGCGCCCUGCCUCUGGCCCCGUUUCGCCUCCGCUUCGGUCUCGUGGCUUCUGGAGUCUUCUAGAUGUAAGAUAAUUGCGCAGCACGUUAAUAUCUUUAUGUAAUCCCGACAUGUGGGCCUUUCUUCCAUAUUUCCUGAUAACCCCCUGCAGAAAUAGACAAACACCAAAACUCGUGGAAUUCUGUCAGAUAAAACCCUAAGUCUAGAUGUUGAUUUCAUUUGGAUCCUUUUCUUUAUUUAUUUGAUAAUUAAAUUUGAUACUUAAGGACCGUCAACAGCAGCCAAAGUCCGUUUAAUCCCUCCAAAAGCAGCCCCGAAGAACGCUCUCAAUGCUUUCAAGAUACCUCCUAAGCGUCGCAAGACUAUAGUAGAUAUUGAUGAGGACGUUCGCAGGCUAGACAGAGUCAUCAUAGACCUCCGGUCCUCGGUUAACUCCAUCACUAGGCAGCUCUCUAACCACAACACCGUUAUAUUAGGCCUUAGGCAUGACCUUGCUAAUGCCAAUAAGAAGAUCAGGGAGUUAGAGCGCAGCUAGGUUAUCUAGAUUAGAUCUUGAGGCAACACAUCUUAGUUAUUUAUCUUUAUCUUUAAAUUCGGUUUAGAUCUAUUAUUAGCUUCAGUUCAUUACUAGUUAUUUGUAAUAAAUGCCUCAAGAUUAAUAAAGAGUAUUAUUAUUAUUAUGUCUUGUGUGUCUCUACUUUAUUUUUGUGCAAGAAAGCAGAAAACAAGUACGGGGGAGAUCCCUCGACAUGCCAAACACACUUCGACUACACCACUCCACGAUUCAGGUACAUACUCUGCACACUUCACUUUACACAUACAUAUAUUUUGGAUUAUGCAGAAUAUUGUCUCCGACAUGAUAAAUUAAAAAGAUUAAAAUGUUUCUAAUCAUGAUUAAUCUCACUCUGUGAUAUUUCCGGAAAACAUACAAUUAUUGAAAAUCAUUUUAAAACCCUGUGUUACUUAAGUCAUUGUGGAAUUUGAGAUUGUAGAGUAUAAGUACCUUAUUCUUGAUAUCAUUGUUGCUUGGAGAAUUUAUUUCAGAAUCUUAAAAAAAUUCUAGCUACCAUCCUCAGUGUUUUAUAUGCCCGAUAAACAUGAUAAUUAUAAAAGCUAUUUGCUCUGUAUUGAGUUUGUUCAAAAUGAGUUAGACCCUUGUUGAGAGAUUUAUCAUGCUCCUAAGAUCAAGACAUUUAUUCAGAAAGAUUCACUCUAUCGAAGUAUUAUUGCAUUAGAGGCAUAGGCUAUGCAAAAAUAAAGAUAUUUCGAGGAAAUAAAAAGGAGCAAGUGCUCGAUAACCUCGCAGAAAGAAAAAAUGGACAAGUGUCCGGCAGUAGAAUUAGGGGUACCUUGGUAUCCACUUAAAAAAAAGAGAGAAAGAAGAAAAUGAUAGCCCAUGGUCCCUCUAAUAAGCAAUAUGCCAGUAAGAUUUGACAAGUUUUUAAUUUCCAAAGUCUUUGAUCUAAGAGUAUGGCAUUCGUCUCCUCGGAUCCUGUUUUGAUCAGGCUAGAAAUGCAAGGUAAGUAUGUUUUAGAAUUUUUGCAAAUUAAAACAGCCUCAAUGAGAUAUAAAAGAUAAUGAGUGACCUGAGAGAACCUAUGAGAAUAAAGGUAUGCUAAAGUUCUUUUCAAAAAAAUAUACAAAAACUCCAAGUAACAGGAUUGAGAAGAAAGGACCUCUACUCUUAACCAUAUAUUUCCCUGACUACAGUACACAGUGGAUUUUUACACCCUGUAGGUAUGAAGAGAAUGUUGUACAAUGUUUUACCCUAGAUAUUUUUCUUAACCAACCUUUUCUCGAGGACGAGUAAAAGCCUAAGUAUGGGGGUAUUUGUUGACGGUUCUUAAGUAUCAAUUUUAAUUAUCAAAUAAACAAGAGAAAGGACCACUAUGCAAACAACACCUAGAAUUAGGGUUUGAUCUGACAGAAUUCUACGAGUUUUGUUGUUUAUCUAUUUCUGCAGGGGGUUAUCAGGAAAUAAGGAAGAAAGGCCCACAUGUCGGGAUUACAUAAAGAUAUUAACGCACCGUGCAAUUUUCUACCAUCUAGAAGACUCCAGAAGCCACGGGAACGAACGGGAAGGCGAUCGGGCCCGGGGGCAGGGCGCCCGCCCUCCCCCAUUGGGCGCCCGCCCUGACCUAGAGUCCAAUUAGGACUCUCUUCGGGGAUUACGCUCCACCGACCUAAAUGAUCAAGGAUAACCGUUCAAUCAAUGUCGGUUUGAUCCGACGGCUCACGUUCACCUGAGGGGACUAUAAAACCAGACCCCCUGGCCCCUGGACGAGACAAGUUCAUCAUAGAGUUGAGAGGUGCCCUCGAAGGAUAAUCUCUCCUCUAAAUAGACUUUUUUUGGCUUAGCAUCCAAUGUGAGUAGAAUUAGAUCUUCUAGUUUCUACUAGAUUGAGAGAGAUAGAGUGGAGGUGUAGAUCGAAGGAAGCCCGACCUGUCGGCGUCUACUCUGAGGUUGUACCUGCAGGAUCAAGUCUUUUAACCCGAGGCUUGCUCCUAGGAUUAGUAUUUCGACUUCUAAAUUCUAGUAUGUUCUUGCUUUAUUGUUCUUUGGUUUAUGAGUUUACUUUAAUCUCUUCGCGUAGAGUUUAGAGUAAUCAUCUCUAGCGUAGACGUGGUGUUUGGGCUACAAUACUCAUAGAUAUCCCCUCACUAGCUGGACCGUGGUAGUAGCGAGGAACGUGACAUUUCCGAGUAACCUUUGCAGACCAUAUCCCGUUAGUAGGAUCGAUAGGGUUAUAGGUGCGGGUCGAACAUCCUCUAUGGUGUCUAGAUUCCGUAAGCUUCUUGUUGAUAUUAGGUAACGCAAUAAGGAAAUGAUCCGCAAGCGCACGGAUAUUAGUGAGCAUUUCACUCGGGAGGUUAUUCAGAGUAUCGUAUUUAUAUUUUUACCACUGGGAGAAAGGGUGCAUCUGACUAACCAAAUCUAUUUCUACUGUGAGUGAUGUAUAGAGAAGACUGCAACCGUAGUCUCAUUCUAACAUUGGUAAGGAUGAUCUACUGUUCUAAUGGGGAGGCUCCCGGAAUCUAGACACCACAAAGGAUGUUCGACCUGCACCUAUAAACCCUACCCGUCCUGCUAACAAGAUAUGGGAUACAAAGGUAACACGGAAAUGUCAUGUUCCUCGCUACUACCACGGUCCAGCUAGUCAGGGGAUAUCUAUGAGUACCCUAGCCUAAACACCACGUUUACGCUAGCAAUGAUUACUCUAAUACUCAACCGGAAGAGAUUAAAGUAAACUCAUAAACCAAAGAACAAUAAAGCAAGAACUUACUAGAAUUAGAAGUCGAAUUACUGAAGAAUCCUAGAAGCAAGCCUCGGGUUAGAAGACUUGAUCCCGUAGGUACAACCUCGGAGUAGACACCGACAGGUCAGGCUUCCUCCGAUCUACACCUCCACUCUAUCUCUCCCAAUCUAGUAGAAACUAGAAGAUCUAAUUCUACUCACAUUGGAUGCUAAGCCUAAAAGAAAUGUUAUGUAGAGGAGAGGUAUUCCUUCGAGGGCUCCUCUCAACUCUAUGAAAAACUUGUCUCCUCCAGGGGCCAGGGGGUCUGGUUUUAUAGUCCCGUCAAGUGAACGUGAGCCAUUGGAUCAAACUGACAUUGAUUGGACGGUUAUCCUUGAUCCUUUAGGUCAGUGGAGAGUAAUCCCCGAAGAGAGUCCUGUUUGGACUCCAAGUCAGGUCGGGCGCCCAGGUCAACUGGGCGGGCCCAGUGCCUGGCCCCGUUCGGCCUCCGCUUCCUUCCCGUGGCUUCUGGAGUCUUCUAGAUGUAAGAUAAUUGCGCGGCACGUUAAUAUCUCUAUGUAAACCUGAUGUGUGGGCCUUUCCUCCAAAUUUCCUGAUAACCCCCUGCUGAAAUAGACAAACACCAAAACUCGUGGAAUUCUGUCAGAUAAAACCCUAAGUCUAGGUGUUGGUUGCAUUUGGAUCCUUUUCUUUAUUUAUUUGAUGAUUAUAUUUGGUACUUAAGUACCGUCAACAACUCCCCCAAGCUUACCUCUUGCUCGUCCCUGAGCAAGGAUGAACUUAAGAGUUUUUGCAGUGGUUUCAUGCCUUAAAAGUAAGAUCUCAUCUCUGAGUUAGAGUAAACUGUUAAGACUUAAACUUACUUAUUUUACCUUUCACCAUGGUGCUUGUAACCGUCACUUGUGUCUUGAGCAGUUAAAAGAUAGAACGGUCAAGUCAAGCGCCAUGUCUCUUAUUCUUGAUCAGCUAUAGCUCUGGAGUUUUUGUAGAUUUUCAAAUAAAACUCAGAGAUUCCUUGAAUAACUCUCUUAGAUCUCUUGUUUGUGGUAUUUCUGGAUCCUUACCAAGGCAGUAAUGGUAUAUGCCUUCUCUCAAAGUAUGUGGUAUUUGUGGUAUGAGGCAUAGUGAUAUUGCCUUCUCUCUCACCCUACUCUAAUAAGGUUUUGAUAUCUGGAGCUCAUAGGUGGGAGACAGCUAAUACAUACUUACAAGACAUUUAUUGCAUAGUCAAACCAUGGAUCCAGAGAAACAAGUCAAUAAGUCAAAUCAAGAUGUGCAUGUGUGGUGAGUGAAUGGUGUAUGGUGAUGAUGGUGAUAAUAAUGGUGAAAAUCUAAUUCUACUUUUUGCUCUUUUGAGGGGAUACAUACCUUUCUUGCACUUUGAAGCUUUUUGAGGAGAAUGAGAUGCUCUAUAUUUUCUUUUUCUUUCCUCUCAGGUGGGUAUCUUGUACCCCUAAUUCUACUGUCGGACACUUGUCCAUUUUUACCUCUCGUCUCACUUUUUCUUUUCUUCGAGGUUCUGGGCACUUGCCCCUUUUUAUUUCCUCGUAUUUUUUUCUUUUUCUCUCUUUUUUUCUAGAGCACUCAUCUCUUGAAAUAAUAUAGCAAGUGGUAGUAACCAAGAUAACUUGAGCAUUUAUUUCAUAGGGAAAAACAGAAAUGUUUUUGGCUAUUCUCUCUCGGAUUAGGAGUAGAAUACUUUUAGGUGAAUCUGGAGAUGGAAUUGAGUGGAUGUAUGUGGAUACGUACUUCCGGAGUAGAAGCAGCAUGUGUGAGUGAACGUGCAAGUGAAUCUUGAUUUUAACCGCAUGACAAGAUCCUAAGGGUCUACACAGCUUGACCACACUCAAUGCUCAUAAGCAGUAAAAGUAAAUAUGUGGCUCAAAGUCUAAUAAGCAUGUAUAUAUGGCUGUGGUAGGAUUUUAAACUCUCAUCAUACAGGAACUCAUCAUGUGUUAUUUUAAAGAUUUUUCAAAGAUAAAAUUCUCCAGAAUUCUAGCAUCUCUAGGAAUAGAUAAACAGUAGCUCAACUUUCCCAUAUCAUAUCCGUUAAUGACUUAGACUUUAGAUCAAGUACUCUUCCCACAAAGUUCAGGUUUAGAGCAGGUUUAAAUUAUAACAGUUGUGCCUAAACUUGAGAGAGAGAUUUCAAUUUUAAGAACUAGUCAUGGCAGAGCAACUAUUCAUCAUUUCCAUGAGAGCUUAUCAUAAGGGUUCAUAGAAAACUUUAUUUUUUUAAAAAACUAAGCAAAGAUAUAUAUAAAAGCACAAAAUCUUUAUUUGGGUUUUUUUUAUGAUUAUGCAUCUUUUUAUUAUUUUAGUAAAGUAUAAACGCGAGUAGAAACACUUAGCUGUAUA
rnacentral:lncRNA from 1 species